UCAAGAAACUUCCACAAUGGGCGAAAGCCUGAUGGAGCGACGUCGCGUGAUGGACGAAGUGCUUCGGCACGUAAACAUCUUUUAUGUGGGAUGAAAUUAUUGACAGUACCACAUGAAUAAGGGGCUCCUAACUCUGUGCCAGCAGGAGCGGUAAUACAGAGGCCCCAAGCGUUAUCCGGAAUCACUGGGCGUAAAGGGUGUCGAGGCGGUUGUAUUAGUCGUUCGUAAAAUCUACGAGCUUAACUUGUAGGCGGCGAACGAAACGGUACGACUUGAGGUUUGGAGAGGUGCGUGGAACUCACGGUGUAGGGGUGAAAUCCGUUGAUAUCGUGGGGAACACCAAAGGCGAAGGCAGCGCACUGGCCAAAAUCUGACGCUCACACACGACAGCUAGGGUAGCGAAGAGGAUUAGAUACCCGUGUAGUCCCUGAGCGGGCUGGCAAGGCGCAU
rnacentral:rRNA from 1 species